GUGUCGCAGUCUCGCUCACCAGCCAGAAUACACCCAAGUUUUGCUCCAUCUCCUCCCGGCUCGGCGGGGUUCCGGCCGCCGUCGCUCCCUCUCUCUCGGCCGACGAGAUCCCAACAUCCCUCCUACGGGCGCGCGGCGACUCGGCGAGAGAACGACCACGCAAGAGAACCAAUGAAGAGCAGAAGAUUAUAAGAAGACAUAUGCAAGUCAGCAGAUCUGAAGGAGUAAGAGCCAGAGAUGGAGAGCAAAGCUAUUUGAAUUAGAAUCAUUAAACUAAGGAAGAGAAUUACAUGGAGGAUGCAGAUCUCUGUGAUUGGAAGGAUCGAUGAUCAUCCAUUAAUCGCUUGCCGCACCCUUGGAAUCUGUAAGACACCGAAACGGCGGCGUUGUUCAUGGAUUGUGAAUUUGGGAGGAGAGGAGUCACCGAAUACGGAGGAGAACGAGGGACUCGUGGAUCCACUGGUGGAAACCGAUUUGACUUCUUUGUGAGUAUUGCUCGUACGUCCACCAGUUUAAUGGGCUUUACACUUGCACGGUUGCACCUUAGGCCCUUUUAUAUUUUUUCCUCUAGAUUUCUUCCGCCUGAGAUAAAAAAACACACUGCGUUGUACUACCUGGUUUGGGGCCCCUACCUCUUGGGGGCCCAGGGCGGGUGCCCCGCUGCCCCGGCCUAUGGACCGGCCCUGUAAGCUGUAGAUGUUGCAUAAUCAGUUGUUAAAGAGAUCCUCUCA